rnacentral:rRNA from 1 species
AGUGAACGCUGGCGGUAGGCCUAACACAUGCAAGUCGAACGGCAGCACAGUAAGAGCUUGCUCUUACGGGUGGCGAGUGGCGGACGGGUGAGGAAUAUAUCGGAAUCUACUUUUUCGUGGGGGAUAACGUAGGGAAACUUACGCUAAUACCGCAUACGACCCACGGGUGAAAGCAGGGGAUCUUCGGACCUUGCGCGAUUGAAUGAGCCGAUGUCGGAUUAGCUAGUUGGCGGGGUAAAGGCCCACCAAGGCGACGAUCCGUAGCUGGUCUGAGAGGAUGAUCCGCCACACUGGAACUGAGACACGGUCCAGACUCCUACGGGAGGCAGCAGUGGGGAAUAUUGGACAAUGGGGGCAAGCCUGAUCCAGCCAUACCGCGUGGGUGAAGAAGGCCUUCGGGUUGUAAAGCCCUUUUGUUGGGAAAGAAAAGCAGCAGGUUAAUACCCCGCUGUUCUGACGGUACCCAAAGAAUAAGCACCGGCUAACUUCGUG